rnacentral:rRNA from 1 species
AGCUCCAAUAGCGUAUAUUAAAGUUGUUGCAGUUAAAAAGCUCGUAGUUGGAUUUCUGGUAGGAGUGACCGUGCCAGACUUGAUUGUCUGUGUAUUGUGUUGUCUCCAGCCAUCCUUGUGGAGAACUUUUCUUGCAUUAAUUUGUAGGGAUUGGGACCCGCAUCGUUUACUGUGAAAAAAUUAGAGUGUUUAAAGCAGGCAAUCGCUUGAAUACAUUAGCAUGGAAUAAUAAGAUAGGACUUUGGUACUAUUUUGUUGGUUUGCAUACCAAAUUAAUGAUCAACAGGAACAGUUUGAGGAUAUUCGUAUGAACAUGUCAGAGGUGAAAUUCUUGGAUUUUGAUCAGACGAACUACUGCGAAAGCAUUUAUCAAGGAUGUUUUCAUUAAUCAAGAACGAAA